CCCUCUUCUACAUUUAUUCAAAUUGAAAUAAAUUCAAUUUUGAAUAAAGUAGAUUAAUAUAGUAGAGCAGUUUUCUUCAUUUAAUCUAUGAAAUUAAACCAAAAAGCAGUAUCCUACACGGAGAACGAGAUCAGUCAAAAAAAGAGUUAUUUAUUUUAACUAGAUUUUUAAAACUUGUAAUUAGCAAUUUCUAUUAUCGUUUCCUUUCUAGGUUUUAG
rnacentral:lncRNA from 1 species